rnacentral:rRNA from 1 species
UAAUACAGAGGGUGCGAGCGUUAAUCGGAAUUACUGGGCGUAAAGCGAGUGUAGGUGGCUCAUUAAGUCACAUGUGAAAUCCCCGGGCUUAACCUGGGAACUGCAUGUGAUACUGGUGGUGCUAGAAUAUGUGAGAGGGAAGUAGAAUUCCAGGUGUAGCGGUGAAAUGCGUAGAGAUCUGGAGGAAUACCGAUGGCGAAGGCAGCUUCCUGGCAUAAUAUUGACACUGAGAUUCGAAAGCGUGGGUAGCAAACAGGAUUAGAUACCCUGGUAGUCCACGCCGUAAACGAUGUCUACUAGCCGUUGGGGUCCUUGAGACUUUAGUGGCGCAGUUAACGCGAUAAGUAGACCGCCUGGGGAGUACGGCCGCAAGGUUA